CAAGAAUCAAGAAAAGCCUAUGCUCCAUACACAAAACAGUUAUCAGAUCUCUUCGUUUUGUAUAGUGGGUUUUGAUUAUCAAGAAGAAAGGAAAAAUGGGUCGUGGAAAGAUUGAGAUCAAGAGAAUUGAAAACUCUACCAACAGACAGGUUACUUAUUCCAAGAGAAGAAAUGGUAUUUUCAAAAAAGCUCAAGAACUCACUGUUCUUUGUGAUGCUAAGGUUUCUCUUAUCAUGUUUUCUAGUACUGGAAAAUUCCAUGAGUUCAUUAGCCCUACAACAUCGUACGUUCAUAGAUCAAGUCCCUUCUUUUAUUUAAUUUUUUUUUUCUUGAGAUUUAGGUUUUGUAAAACCCUAAUAUAAUAUUUGGGGUUUGCGUGUGUAUGUGUGUUUUGUUUUUUAAUAAUCUGCAGGACAAUAUCUCUCUCUCUAUAAACAUAUAUCUACUAAUAUAUUGUUUGUAUUUGUUGUUCUUUUUGUUUCCUUGUUUUAGGAUCAGGUGAACUUUUUAUUUAUUUAUUUUUUCUUGGAUUGAGUUUUUUAAAUUUGUUUUGCUAUUUUGUUGCUUUCAUACUCUUUGAUUAUAGACCACUUUGAUUAUUUUUUUUCAAUAUCCAAUUACAGGUUGUUUAGGCAUUAAAAAAAAUAUUGCUGUUGGCUCGCUAAAAUACAGAUGAAAGGUGAGUUUGAUUCUUAUUAAAUACAAAAUUUUGCCUUUUUUUUUUUUUUUUUGUUACCUUUCUUGCCUUUCUAUUUAUCUCUCUAAAUAAUAACUAUGAAUUUAGAAAAGAGUCAAGGAGUUAGAAAAUAUUAGCUUAAAAAAUGUAAAACCAUGGCUCUAACUUGUGAAAUUAUAACAUUUUGUUGCUUAUGCUAUUUAAAAGUUUACUCUACCAUUUACCUGUUUUCUAUAUUACAGAAACAAAAGAUUGGACAGCAAAGAGAUAGAAAGUUAAUUUUAUAUAUCUAUAUAUUCUUGUUUGAAUUUGGCUUUACAGUUAAAAACCAUGGAUACAUUUAGUGAUACAAAUACCAAAAUUAUUAGAUAACAAAAUGAAAAUGACUCGGUACAAGAGAAUAAUUUGUUUGUAGAUAUGAAAUCUCCAAGUAUUCACUAUAAUUUUCUUAAAAAAUGACAAGCUUUCACCUAGAGGAUAAUUUGAUGUAGAUAAACACAAGUCAGUUGGACUUGCUACUAUUUUAUCUACUUGAAAUUAAUUCUCUCUGUAUAUAUAUAGAUAAUUUGACUUUUUUGUAAUUGGUGUAUAUAUUUUUUUUUCUUUUUUUCUUUUAUGUUUUCAUUGGGUUUUUUUAAGUUUAAAAAUUA
rnacentral:lncRNA from 1 species